AGAAGGUGGGCUUGGGAAGGCAGCCCGGGGUCCAAAUCCUCCUGACUCUUCAGCUUAGCGGGAUGUCACCUUCAGUGUCUGAAAGCUGGGUUUGAUGCGUCUGGAAAGGCGCCCCUGACAGGCGUCGUUGCCAGGAGCCCCUAGUGCCGCCCCCAGCCAGCAGGGGAGAGCGUCCUCUGCCCGCUCACUUCUGACCCUUCUCUCGUUGCACCCGGGACAUGGUGCAGCUGGGAGCAGCCUGGGCUGCGCGGAAGGCUCAGAUUUGGGGACGGCCCUUGCCAGUGACUGUGAGCUGGGGUGUCUUGGAAACUCCCAGUCUCAGCUUCUCCAUUUAUAAGAUGAGAAUGAUCAUACCAGCCUCAGGCAAGGUUGUUUGUGCAUUAGUGAAAUCAGACGUAUCAAAUAAAGUACCACAUUGAUCGUGGAGUUGUUGAAUAACCAA
rnacentral:lncRNA from 1 species